rnacentral:rRNA from 1 species
GGGAAACUGCCUGAUGGAGGGGGAUAACUACUGGAAACGGUAGCUAAUACCGCAUAACGUCGCAAGACCAAAGAGGGGGACCUUCGGGCCUCUUGCCAUCAGAUGUGCCCAGAUGGGAUUAGCUAGUAGGUGGGGUAACGGCUCACCUAGGCGACGAUCCCUAACUGGUCUGAGAGGAUGACCAGCCACACUGGAACUGAGACACGGUCCAGACUCCUACGGGAGGCAGCAGUGGGGAAUAUUGCACAAUGGGCGCAAGCCUGAUGCAGCCAUGCCGCGUGUAUGAAGAAGGCCUUCGGGUUGUAAAGUACUUUCAGCGAGGAGGAAGGUGUUGAGGUUAAUAACCUCAGCAAUUGACGUUACUCGCAGAAGAAGCACCGGCUAACUCCGUGCCAGCAGCCGCGGUAAUACGGAGGGUGCAAGCGUUAAUCGGAAUUACUGGGCGUAAAGCGCACGCAGGCGGUCUGUCAAGUCGGAUGUGAAAUCCCCGGGCUCAACCUGGGAACUGCAUUCGAAACUGGCAGGCUAGAGUCUUGUAGAGGGGGGUAGAAUUCCAGGU